UACAGAGGGGGCAAGCGUUGUUCGGAAUUACUGGGCGUAAAGGGCGCGUAGGCGGCCUUCUAAGUCGAACGUGAAAUCCCCGGGCUUAACCUGGGAACUGCAUUUGUGACUGCAUGGCUGGAGUGCGGCAGAGGGGGAUGGAAUUCCGCGUGUAGCAGUGAAAUGCGUAGAUAUGCGGAGGAACACCGAUGGCGAAGGCAAUCCCCUGGGCCUGCACUGACGCUCAUGCACGAAAGCGUGGGGAGCAAACAGG
rnacentral:rRNA from 1 species